rnacentral:rRNA from 1 species
CCUACGGGAGGCAGCAGUGAGGAAUAUUGGUCAAUGGGCGCGAGCCUGAACCAGCAAAGCAGCGUGAAGGAUGACUGCCCUACGGGUUGUAAACUUCUUUUAUAAAGGAAAAAAGUGAGGCACGUGUGCCUUUUUCUAUGUACUUUAUGAAUAAGGAACGGCUAACUCCGGGCCAGCAGCCGCGGUAAUACGGAGGAUCCGAGCGUUAUCCGGAUUUAUUGGGUUUAAAGGGAGCGUAGAUGGGUUGUUAAGUCAUUGGUGAAAGUUUGCGGCUCAAACGUAAAAUUGCAAUUGAUACUGGCAUCCUUGAGUGCAGUAGAGGUAGGCGGAAUUCGUGGUGUAGCGGUGAAAUGCUUAGAUAUCACGAAGAACACCGAUUGCGAAGGCAGCCUACUAGACUGCCACUGACGUUGAUGCUCGAAAGUGUGGGUAUCAAACAGGAUUAGAUACCCUAGUAGUC